rnacentral:rRNA from 1 species
AUUGAACGCUGGCGGCAUGCUUUACACAUGCAAGUCGAACGGUAACAGGGUGCUUGCACCGCUGACGAGUGGCGAACGGGUGAGUAAUGCGUCGGAACGUGCCGAGUAGUGGGGGAUAACGCAGCGAGAGCUGUGCUAAUACCGCAUACGAACUGAGGUUGAAAGUGGGGGACCUUCGGGCCUCACGCUAUUCGAUCGGCCGACGUCUGAUUAGCUAGUUGGUAGGGUAAAGGCCUACCAAGGCGACGAUCAGUAGCGGGUCUGAGAGGAUGAUCCGCCACACUGGGACUGAGACACGGCCCAGACUCCUACGGGAGGCAGCAGUGGGGAAUUUUGGACAAUGGGGGCAACCCUGAUUCAGCCAUGCCGCGUGUCUGAAGAAGGCCUUCGGGUUGUAAAGGACUUUUGUCCGGGAGCAAAUACGCAGUGCUAAUAACGCUGCGGGCUGAGAGUACCGGAAGAAUAAGCACCGGCUAACUACGUGCCAGCCGCCGCGGUAAAAC